rnacentral:lncRNA from 1 species
GGGGUUUCCUCAAAAUUUGGGUGUUUCCCAACCAAAUUUCUGGGGUUUCCCCUCAGAAUUUUGGGGUUUUCCUUAAAAUCUUGGAGUUUUUCCUAAAAAUUUGGGGGUUUUUCAUCAAAUUUUGGGGGGUUUCCUCAAAAUUUGGCUUCUCCCAACCAAAUUUCUGGGUUUUCCUCUCAGAAUUUGGGGGUUUUCCUUAAAAUCUUGGAGUUUUUCCUCAGAAUUUGGGGGUUUCCUCAAAAUUUGGUCGUUUUCCCAGCCGAAUUUCUGGGGUUUCCCCUCAAAAUUUGGUGUUUUUCCUAAAAAUCUUGGAGGUUUUCCUCAGAAUUUAGGGGUUUCCUCAAAGUUUUGGGGGUUUUCCUUGAGAUUUUGGGGGUUUUUCAUCAAGUUUUGGAGGUUUUCCUCAAAAUUUGGGGGUUUCCCAACCAAAUUUCUGGGUUUUCCCCUCAAAAUUUGAGGUUUUUUCCUUAAAAUCUUGGAGAUUUUCCUCGAAAUUUGGGGUUUUCCAAGCAAAUUUCUGUGUUUUCCCCUCAGAAUUUGGGUUUUUUCCUUAAAAUCUUGGAGUUUUUCCUAAAAAUUUGGGGUUUUCCUUAAAAUUUUGGGGGUUUUCCUUGAUAUUUUGAUUUUGUUUCAUCAAAUUUUGGGGUUUUACUGCAAAAUUUGGGGGUUUUCCACAAAAUUUGGGGGUUCCCAUCAAAAUAAUGGGUUUUUUUCCUCAAAAUUUGGAGUUUUCACUCAGAAUUUGGGGAGUUUUCCUCAAAAUUUGGGUUUUUUUCUUCAGAAUUGGGGGGGUUUCAUCAAAAUUUGGGGGUUUCCGUAAAAAUCUUGGGGGUUUUCCUCAAAAUUUGGGUUUGUUUUCCUCAGAAUUUGGGGUUUUCCUUAAAAUUUGGGGUUUUCCAACCAAAUUCUGUGUUUUCCCUCAAAAUUUUGGGGUUUUCUGUCAAAAUCUCGGAGGGUUUCCUCCAAAUUUGGGUUUUUUCCCUCAGAAUUUGGGGUUUCCCGCAAAAUUUGGAGGUUUCACACAAAACUUUUGGUGGUUUUCCUCAAAAUUUGCUGAUUUCUGAGGGGGACCCAUUGAGGGGAACCCCAAAACCCAUUGAGGGGACCCCAAAACCCCCUUUGGGGACCUUAAUUCCCCCCUUGGGACCCCAAAAUGCAUCUGAGGGACCCCAAAACCCAUUGAGGGAGCCCCCAAACACCAUCUAAGGCCCUAAAAUCAAUGGGGGGGACCCCAAAACCCAUUGAGGAACCAUAAAGUCAAUGGAGGAGACCCCAAAACCCAUUGAGGGAGCCCCCAAACACCAUCUGGGACCCUAAAAUCAAUGGGGGGGACCCCAAAUCCCAUUGAGGAACCUCAAUUCCCUCCCCUUGGGGACCCCAAAACCCAUUGAAGAACCCCCAAACCCCCCUUUGGGACCCCAAAACCCAUCGUGGGGCCCCCAAACCCCAUUGAAGACCCCCCAUAAUCAAUGGGGGGGACCCCAAAACCCCCCUUUUGGACCCCAAAACCCCCCUUUUUUAUUGUUUAGCUCUAUU